AUUGAACGCUGGCGGCAGGCCUAACACAUGCAAGUCGAACGAGUGGCGGACGGGUGAGUAAUGUCUGGGAAACUGCCCGAUGGAGGGGGAUAACUAAUGGAAACGGUAGCUAAUACCGCAUACCAUCGGAUGUGCCCAGAUGGGAUUAGCUAGUAGGUGGGGUAACGGCUCACCUAGGCGACGAGCCCUAGCUGGUCUGUGAGGAUGAAGAGCCACACGGGAACUGAGACACGGUCCAGACUCCGACGGGAGGCAGCAGUGGGGAAUAUUGCACAAUGGGCGCAAGCCUGAUGCAGCCAUUCCGCGUGUAUGAAGAAGGCCUUCGGGUUUUAAAGUACUUUCAGCGAGGGGGCGUUACUCGCAGAAGAAGCACCGGCUAACUCCGUGCCAGCAGCCGCGGUAAUUC
rnacentral:rRNA from 1 species